CAUUCCUCUGUUUCAUCUCUUUUUCUUCUACGCUGCUCCGAUAUCCGAGGAGACUCUAGCGCUUACGAUCAAGAUGUUUCAUGUUCUUCCUAACUUCAGAGGAAUCAACAGUUACGGAUUCAUCCUGAUAAAGAUGUUCUUCAAUCUAUCACCGGUGAUGAGCUCAUGUCUAUCGAUAUGCUCUUCCUUGAUUCAAAGACGCCUAUUGCGAAGAUCAUUCUGAAUGCCAAGCAAAUUAGCGAUAUUUGUAGGCCAGUCGGUUUUGACCCGUGAACUUCUGGUGACGUCUCCUUCUUCAAAUUCAUCUAUAUUAUGAGUGUAUUCAUUGCGUUCAUUUUCGACUAUCAUAUUGUGUAAUAUGAUACACUAGAAUCUGCCCGCCUUUCGGGCGGGGUUAUUUCAUUAGAUGUAUUUUUUGGUUGUAUUAUAUUAUGGAAUUUGAUAUGGUAAAAUCUGUAUUGUGAA